rnacentral:rRNA from 1 species
UGCGGAGGGGGCAAGCGUUAUUCGGAAUUAUUGGGCGUAAAGGGCGCGUAGGCGGCUAGAUGUGUCAAAGGUGAAAUCCCUCGGCUCAACUGAGGAACUGCCUUUGAAACUGUCUGGCUUGAGGCCGGGAGAGGGUAGCGGAAUUCCCAGUGUAGCGGUGAAAUGCGCAGAUAUCAGGAGGAACACCGGUGGCGAAGGCGGGUCUCUGGGCCGUAACUGACGCUGAGGAGCGAAAGCGUGGGGAGCAAACAGG